rnacentral:rRNA from 1 species
UACGAAGGUUGCAAGCGUUACUCGGAAUUACUAGGCGUAAAGGGCAGGUAGGCGGUUUGGUAAGUCUAUUGUGAAAGCUCCCGGCUUAACUGGGAGAGGCCAAUGGAUACUGCCAAGCUUGAGUAUAGGAGAGGUUACUGGAAUUCCCGGUGUAGCGGUGAAAUGCGCAGAUAUCGGGAGGAACACCAAUGGCGAAAGCAGGUAACUGGACUAUUACUGACACUCAACUGCGAAAGCUAGGGGAGCAAACAGG